rnacentral:tRNA from 1 species
AACUUUAUAUUCAAUGAUGAUAGUAGACUGCAAUUCUAAAGGAAUAAUAUAAUAAUUAUUAAAGUUU